CGGGUUCAUGCGGGGUGGGCGGGGACAGUGUGGCAGCAGUCGCGAGGGCGAAGAGCCCCCGGCUCUCCAGGCAGAUCUGGCUGCGAGGGUCAGUGAUGAAGGAUGAAGACUCUACGAUCUACAGGACUUCUCUGAGGCUUAUGACUAUAUGAUUCCACAACACCUGCAACCUAAUCAACGCAACGAUUGCCACCUCAACAUGCUUCAGCUCAGACUGUGUCCAGAGACUUCAGGUGAGGAAUGACAACCCUUCAGCUUCAUUACUCGGGUGAGACCUUUCCUUUCAUAAUAUUGUCUAAUUCCAUCCCAGGUGGUUCACUUUCUAACAAAGUCCCAAAACCUAGAUAUAGACCAGGUUCUGUGAGAGAGAGAGCAUAUGUUCACACAUAUCCAUAAACUAGUGCAAAAUAUAUACAUGAAAGCAGAAGUACACU